rnacentral:rRNA from 1 species
UGCAGUCGAGCGCCCCGCAAGGGGAGCGGCAGACGGGUGAGUAACGCGUGGGAAUCUACCGUACCCUACGGAAUAACGCAUGGAAACGUGUGCUAAUACCGUAUACGCCCUUCGGGGGAAAGAUUUAUCGGGGUAUGAUGAGCCCGCGUUGGAUUAGCUAGUUGGUGGGGUAAAGGCCUACCAAGGCGACGAUCCAUAGCUGGUCUGAGAGGAUGAUCAGCCACAUUGGGACUGAGACACGGCCCAAACUCCUACGGGAGGCAGCAGUGGGGAAUAUUGGACAAUGGGCGCAAGCCUGAUCCAGCCAUGCCGCGUGAGUGAUGAAGGUCUUAGGAUUGUAAAGCUCUUUCACCGGAGAAGAUAAUGACGGUAUCCGGAGAAGAAGCCCCGGCUAACUUCGUGCCAG